rnacentral:piRNA from 1 species
CAGCUUUGGAAGGACUCACUAAGG